rnacentral:rRNA from 1 species
GAUGAACGCUGGCGGCGUGCCUAAUACAUGCAAGUCGAGCGAACAGACGAGAAGCUUGCUUUUCUGAUGUUAGCGGCGGACGGGUGAGUAACACGUGGAUAACCUACCUAUAAGACUGGGAUAACUUCGGGAAACCGGAGCUAAUACCGGAUAAUAUUUUGAACCGCAUGGUUCAAAAGUGAAAGACGGUCUUGCUGUCACUUAUAGAUGGAUCCGCGCUGCAUUAGCUAGUUGGUAAGGUAACGGCUUACCAAGGCAACGAUGCAUAGCCGACCUGAGAGGGUGAUCGGCCACACUGGAACUGAGACACGGUCCAGACUCCUACGGGAGGCAGCAGUAGGGAAUCUUCCGCAAUGGGCGAAAGCCUGACGGAGCAACGCCGCGUGAGUGAUGAAGGUCUUCGGAUCGUAAAACUCUGCUAUUAGGGAAGAACAUAUGUGUAAGUAACUGUGCACAUCUUGACGGUACCUAAUCAGAAAGCCACGGCUAACUACGUG